rnacentral:lncRNA from 1 species
AGUUUUUCACUCCACAUUUGAGCUCUCCCACGUUUUUGCCUCCAAGCUUUCAAGCUUCCAAGUGCUCAAGUGUCUUAGCUUUCCAAAGCUUCAAAAGCUCUUCAACUUCUUCUUCUAAUCUUCUUGUUCAUCUAUACAAGUAAGAAGUAUUGUUUGCUUUAAUAUUCCACUCCUCUAAUCACCUCUUGUGUGUGUCCGCUUUGGUUGAGAGGGUUGUCUCAAUAUCACUAAAGUGUGAGAGAAGGUUUUUGAGCUUAACCAUAAAGCUCUUGUUUGGUUUUAUAGAUUUUCCGGGAAAACUCUUAGGUCAAAUCUACCUUGAAAGAUUUAAAGGUUUUUAAGAGUUCCUUAAUAGUCUAAGGUCCUAACUUACCCGUAAAUAAAAGUUAGAGGUUCUUAAGAGUGCCCUUGAUACUCUAAGGUGUGAGUCUACGCGUAAAAGACUGGUUCCUAAGCGAAGUAGCCUUAAAGCUUAGAGAGGUUUUGAAAAGUUCCUUGAUACUCUAAGGUACUAACUUACCCGUAAAAGUUAGAGGUUCUUAAGAGUGCCUUUGAUACUCUAAGGUGUGAGUCUACCCGUAAAAGACUGAUUCCUAAGCGAAGUAGCCUUAAAGCUUAGAGAGGUUCUUAAGAGUUUCCUUGAUACUCUAAGGUUUUGCCAUUACCUUUAGGCGAGUGAAUUCCGGCAGUUGGUCGGGACUGGACUAGCCCUUGUUUGGGUGAACCAGUAUAAAUCUCUUGUGUUGUUCUCUGUUAAUUAUAGUUUUAUCUUUUAUUUAAAAAACAACACUUAAUUAAAAAGAUCUCUCUUCCAGUUAUCUGGUCAAACACAGAGGUUGACUACUUUAUGCAGAUCCCUCAUCCAGUUAUCUGGUCAACUAUCUGAGGUUAUAUUUAUUGCUUUAAAUCCUUAUAUUUGUUCAAAUAUUACUUAUCAUAUUUAUCCAGUUAUCUGGUCACUUACUUGUUUAUCAAUUAAUAUAUCCAGUUAUCUGGUCAUUUACUUGCUUAUCAAUAUAUCCAGUUAUCUGGUCAUUUACUCUACAAUACAAUUUGUGUUUACAAUAUAACUUAGUAUUCAUAUACUAUAGUUGUGUGUAAAACACUAUCAAGCAAGUUGACUCAGUAUUCAUAUACUGUAGUAAGCUUCGAAGAGUAAUAAUUACAUUAUUAUAUCAAUCAAAAUCAUAAUAUCCUUAUAUCAUUAUUGUUCAACCAUUUGUUUAUUAAGCAUUUACAGGUAAUUCCGCAAUCAACUUGUAUAAAUCGAAAAGAGACUAUUACCCCCCCUUAUAGCCUCGGAUCACGAUCCAACAACAUCCCGUCAACAAAGUUCUUAAAGCAGACUUGCUUGGUCCGCUCUCGGAUCUCCCGGCAGCGCUGAGCGAAAAGCACUUUGGCAUCCUCAAUGCUCUUCUCAAUUCUCUCCACCUUGGAGAGGGCAUCGUCCUUUAGCUUCAAAGCGACCUCGGUCUCUCGGUGGACUUCCUUAACCUGGGUAUCGCGGAGAGAAAGCUGCUCGGUCAGAUUAACAACAUUUUCCAAGGCUUUCCUUAAUGCCUCAGCACGCUCGAUCCCCAACCUCUGCCUAGCCUUCUCCACCCUCACGACCUGGAGAGCACGAACUAAACAAGCGACGUCAAGCUUUUGCAGGUCGGUAUGCAUCAGAUCUUUUCAAUCGCCCUCCUUCUCGAUCCAGUAGUCCAACUUCCCGAGGGCGUGCUCAUACAUACCAGCAAGGCGAGGCGCUUGCAUGGUUUCAGUGACAAUCAAGCGAUCCCCAGGGAAGGUGCCGUCAGGAAGCAUAGCAGAUCAAGAAUGGUAUCAUAAUUGCGCAUGUCCAGAUCAUGGAGGGGAAUGUUUUUAAGAGGCACCUCCAGACCGCCGCCCCCAAUUGAAUCGUCUCGGGCGGGUGACUCCUCCGUACGGGCACGUUUCUUCUUAUUUUGUUUUCCAGGCGAUUCAUUUCCUGCAAAGAAGCCCAUUAAUCCCCAUCGUAAGUGUCUCCUGAAAAGAAAAAAAGAAACAAUCAACAAAGAAAAAAAGGAAAGAAAAGUAAGUUACCGGCAGGAACAAGGUACGGAUGGGUUUCCUUCCAAAACCCGGACAUAAGAUCAUGGCACAGAAUGGGCUGAUGCUCCCGUAUGGAAUGCAACAAGGACAAGACAGCACUCUCCUCAAGGGUCAGGUCCUCCGCAGUAAGGUCCUGGGACUCAUACAGGUUGGUAUCCUUCCACUCGGAAGGAACACCGGAUAAACCAAGGCGACUAGACUUUGCGAAAAGUAUCGGUUCUUCCAUUUAUGGGACCGGUCAGAAAAACCAUCGAGAAUCUUGCAAUGCAUACGGGUAGAUAUCUGAAGCCGUGAGGCAUUGGGACGAGAGAUGGAGAAUAAAAGGUGAAACACGAGUUCGUACGGCAUAAUCCCCAACUGGAGACAGAGAUACUCGAAACUAUACAAGCGGUCAAUGCUGGAGGGUGAAAGUUACGAAAGAGAAACACCCAGAAACAGAAGGAAGGAUCGAAUGAAGGAGGAAACGGGAAACUUAAGGCCUAUACCAACAUAUCCGGAAUAGACAACAGUAUAUCCAGAAGGGGGAGAAGAAGCAAGAACAGCAUUUGGGGUUUUACACUCCUUGAUAGUGGAUUCGGGGGCAAGGAGCAACCAGUCAUGCCGAGUUUGACGGCGAUUAAAAAUAGAGGGAGGGUUUUCAGAUGGAGAUAGAAGAUUACCGUCGAAGUUUAGCCCGUCGAUGAACUGGUUGAGGUCGGCCAUGACAGCAGUUGAAGAGAGGGCGCGAGUUGGAGAGCGAACAGCGGAAGAAAAAGAAACCCUGGAAGUAAGCAGACGAGGUAAGAAUGAGGGGAAGAAAAGUGGUAUUUAUAAGUGAUUUAGGCGGGAAAAUGAAAAUUACCAAAGAAGAGCAAGCGACAGACAAACAAAAAUAGGGCCGCCUGAAUCAACCGUACGGUUGGACAAACGUCAGACAACCUCAACCCGGACCUAAGUACUGACCCUAUUAAUCAACCUUCCCUUCAAAGAGCGGUGUAACCAAUACAAAACCGUAAGGAACAUACCUGCGGGAAGUCGGGAGCGGAAGAAAGCGCAUCAAAGGAGUUAGAAACCCCAUCAGUAACAACCCCAUCAAGAGUAUCGAUCUAUCCGCAGAAGGCCAAGCGUAUCAAACCGUACGAACAAAUAAAAGUAAAAGAAACCAAGCAAAGUAAAAAGUAAAUUCCCUUACGAAUAAAGUAGGACGGUGGGAAACCACACCAGCGUUGGAGAAAAAACAAGGUUCAGAGCAGGCAUGUAAAGUAGCAGUACGUAAAGAUAAAAGAAAAGACGCUAUCUCGCCAACAGGAGAGUUCACAAAAAAAGCUGCAACACAAAAGCAGUUCAAUUACAAAAGAUCAACACACAAAAGACAACGCGUCCCGUAAGUAAAAAAAUUCGAAUACGCCUAGCGGGGCGUUCCGCGCGAAAGGAAAUGACGAAGGUCGAUCGAGGGGAGUAACACACGGCCAGCACGCUGUCGGCGUCCUCGACGACGAUGAGUGGGAGGAGCAGAUGAGUGACCAUCAGAGGGGGGAUCGCCAACAGCAGCAGUAGGAAACCCAUCACAAGCACCAGCAGCCGCAGGGAAUUCUCCAAGAGCGGCAGCAGCCGUAGAGAAACGACGACCAGGAGCAGUUGCCGUUGAAGGAAUAACAAUACCGGUCCCGUUCGAAGCCCGCCAAAGAGCAGAAAUACGACGCUAAACUUCCAAAAGAAAAGAAUUAAGGCGAUGGUUCUCAGUGGCAGCAAAGGCGCGAGCGUCAUCUCCAUGGAGAAGAAGACUCUCAGACCAGGCAGCUUGUUGAUGCACUAACUCACGGCCCAGCUCCUCCAGCAAAAGCUCAAGAGAAGACAUGAUGAAUGCGGAAAAAAGAUCAAAAGAAGAAAAGAAGACAGAGGGAGUACUGAUGAUACCCUUGGUCCAUCAAACCUAGGGCCGCCCCAGAAGCAAGGAUAACAGGCCCAAACGGCCUGGUAAAAGGAGUAGGGUGGGACCUGGACGGGUUGGGUUUAACCCAAAUAAGUCGGGUCUUCACACGGGCCGAGAUAGAUACAACCCAGUAAAAGCCCAGCCGAGUAGGAAAAUGUAUAAAUACCCCCAGGGGUCGACUGGAACAAGGGAGAGAGAUCAGUGUAUAGAUUCAAUACCAGAUCAUCACUUAUCGAGUCGAUAAUAUAUAUAAAGGUUAGAU